GCCAAAAUUGUUGCAACCCAGAGCGAUAUGUUAACAAAGAAUAACGGUACCUCUAGUUCGCUUUCCAAUCUAGUCAACAAAGAGUCGAGUGCCCUAGCGUCACGGCUAGCAACAAACGAGUAAAAUGUCUAUUAAUGUUCCUCUGCAUCAUCGGUAAAAUGAGAAAUUUCAUAUCCCCUACGGUGUGUGCCAAGCUGCUGUUAUAUUGGCCUAUCGCUUUUCAAAUCUGGCAAAUUGGGCCAGCAAUGUUUCCCGACUUGGUAAAUUAUGCCAAGUACAAUGUGUUGAACACGAUAUUUUCUUGUCCAUCUUCAAGUAAUCACCUGUGAAACGAGCUGAGCUGAAGGAAUUGAUUCGGUGUUCUACUCCUUGGCACGGAGCGGGAAGCUGCGAUGAGUUCUUCUCAGUAAACAAUAGCCCUAUUCGAAUCAUAUUGCCCAAUAUGGAAAAUGGGCAAAACUAAGGUGAGAAAAAUCUUUAUGGCAUCAUUAUUGCGUCUCUGAACUUGCCCGACGUCUGCUGUUGAUGAAUAUCCUGAAUUGAGUUGAAAAGGAAAAGUUCAUGCCCCGUCUGCACACACCUACUCGUACGUUACAUAGAAAGUGCCGCUAAAGCAAAAAUAACGUUUUGCGUGAGAACUGUUGCGUAUUUGUAAGUUGGCAUGAAUAUGUUUGUAAAUUGAUUUUCCUAAGUUUAUUUCAGGUCGGAUAACGUCCACAAUGCGCUAGGAGAGAGUGCAGUAUAUUGUAUAGCCAACAGAUGGGACUAGCCACCAAACCCAUAGUGAACUCGCUUUGGUACAAACGUUUUUUGAUAAAAAAUCAUGGCACUGGUAACGCGGUAUAAAAAUGAUCACCGAGUUGAUAGAACACGUUCGCUUGAUGAAAUUAUUAAUGCGAACAUAACCAAAUGGUUGAGCACAGCUCAAUAAUGUUCACGCACAAUUUCUGUUUACUAUAUCUUACAAUUUUUGCUAGGGCAAUGUAUAAACGUUGAGCAGAUAGUCUAUUGCGCUCGGUACAUGACAACUACACAAGUAUUAACAUUGGAUAUAUCGAUUUGUGUUACUUUACUCGUUAGUUCAGGCUUUUCUAGUUUUAUUUUUAGAUACCCUUCAGCUGCUAUUGUGUACUGUUCUGGUAUGGAAAAUGUUAACUUUCGACUAGCACUACUCAAAGGUUAUCGAAAAGUGAGCCUUUUUCGGAAUCGUUCGAUAAAACUAUAAACAAAUAGGGAAAGGGUAGAUCUAAUAGUAAAAAGACAGAUGUGGCCAUCAGCC